rnacentral:lncRNA from 1 species
AUCAUUUACAGAAGAAGGCUCACCAUCCAGAUCGUAUAGCAUGCUGAACAAGGCGUGUGCUGAGAGAUGCGUAUCCAUUGAACACAUAGAAAAUAUCAUUUGGACUAUUCGUGGAUAAAUCCAUCAGUUAGAUGAAAAGAACAUCAAAGAAACAAAUAGUGGAGCACUAACUUUUACGGUUCAAUAGUAAGAUAAAUCAUAACAGUGCUCAUAAUCCCUUGUGCCACUGGACGCCUCUGAAAACAAUAAAAUACAGGUUCUUUACGUUAAGAAAAGUUUAUAGGGCCCUUCAGUUGCUCUCUCGCAACAGAGCCAGAGUGAGAACUAUACAAGAGUUAU